AGGGCACCACCAGGAGUGGAGCCUGCGGCUUAAUUUGACUCAACACGGGGAAACUCACCCGGCCCGGACACAGGUAGGAUUGACAGAUUGAGAGCUCCUUCCUGAUUCUGUGGGUGGUGGUGCAUGGCCGUUCUUAGUUGGUGGAGCGAUUUGUCUGGUUAAUUCCGAUAACGAACGAGACUCUGGCAUGCUAAAUAGUUACGCGACCUUCUCGGUCGGCGUCUAACUUCUUAGAGGGACUAGUGGCGUUUAGCCACACGAGAUUGAGCAAUAACAGGUCUGUGAUGCCCUUAGAUGUCCGGGGCCGCACGCGCGCUACACUGAGUAAAGCAGCGAGUGUCUAACCUAGGCCGAAAGGACCGGGUAACCCGUUGAACCUCAUUCGUGAUUGGGAUAGGGACUUGCAAUUGUUUCCCUUGAACGAGGAAUUCCCAGUAAGCGCAAGUCAUCAACUUGCGUUGAUUACGUCCCUGCCCUUUGUACACACCGCCCGUCGCUACUACCGAUUUGAAUGGUUUA
rnacentral:rRNA from 1 species